rnacentral:rRNA from 1 species
GAUGAACGCUGGCGGCGUGCCUAAUACAUGCAAGUCGAGCGAACAGACGAGGAGCUUGCUCCUCUGACGUUAGCGGCGGACGGGUGAGUAACACGUGGAUAACCUACCUAUAAGACUGGGAUAACUUCGGGAAACCGGAGCUAAUACCGGAUAAUAUAUUGAACCGCAUGGUUCAAUAGUGAAAGACGGUUUUGCUGUCACUUAUAGAUGGAUCCGCGCCGCAUUAGCUAGUUGGUAAGGUAACGGCUUACCAAGGCAACGAUGCGUAGCCGACCUGAGAGGGUGAUCGGCCACACUGGAACUGAGACACGGUCCAGACUCCUACGGGAGGCAGCAGUAGGGAAUCUUCCGCAAUGGGCGAAAGCUUGACGGAGCAACGCCGCGUGAGUGAUGAAGGUCUUCGGAUCGUAAAACUCUGUUAUUAGGGACGAACAAAUGUGUAAGUAACUAUGCACGUCUUGACGGUACCUAAUCAGAAAGCCACGGCUAACUACGUG